UACGUAGGCAGCAAGCGUUGUUCGGAGUUACUGGCGUAAAGGGUGUGUAGGCGGUUGUUUAAGUUUGGUGUGAAAUCUCCCGGCUCAACCGGGAGGUGCGCCGAAUACUGAGUGACUAGAGUGCGGGAGAGGAAAGUGGAAGUUCCUGGUGUAGCGGUGAAAUGCGUAGAUAUCAGGAGGAACACCGGUGGUGUAGACGGCUUUCUGGACCGUAACUGACGCUGAGACACGAAAGCGUGGGUAGCAAACAGG
rnacentral:rRNA from 1 species